UACAGAGGGUGCAAGCGUUAAUCGGAAUUACUGGGCGUAAAGCGUGCGUAGACGGUUACGUAAGUUAGGUGUGAAAGCCCCGGGCUCAACCUGGGAAUUGCAUUUAAGACUGCGUAGCUAGGGUGCGGAAGAGGGAAGCGGAAUUUCCGGUGUAGCGGUGAAAUGCGUAGAUAUCGGAAGGAACAUCAGUGGCGAAAGCGGCUUCCUGGUCCAGCACCGACGUUCAGGCACGAAAGCGUGGGGAGCAAACAGG
rnacentral:rRNA from 1 species